UAGCGCGGCCGUUCGGGCAGAGAAAGUUGACAUGAACGAGUCGGAGUGAAGGGGAGAUAGUUGGGGUGUGAUUCAGGGUGACAAUCGGUUGGUUGGCGCUUGGUUGAUGAGGGAACAAGGUUCUUUCUGAAUGUUUUAAAAAGGUGGCAGACUAUGAGAGAGGUUCCACUCACAUGGUCUCCUCGUCUAUGUCGUUCUCCUCCGUGUUGCUGGUGGCUGUGGAGCUUCCUGAGGUGCUGCUGCCAUCCAGUGGGUUCACCUCCUCCUCAGUGAGGCAAUCAACCUCCAGGUCUCCGUCAGACAGUUCCUGAACAACAACAAAGUUGCUCAAAGUGGUCUGGGCGUCGUCAUCACUCUUCACUGAGCCAGGGUCUCUCUCAGACGUUGCGGUGCCUGCAGUCAGUCUCAGG